rnacentral:rRNA from 1 species
AUUGAACGCUGGCGGCAUGCCUUACACAUGCAAGUCGAACGGUAACGGGCCUUCGGGUGCCGACGAGUGGCGAACGGGUGAGUAAUGCAUCGGAACGUACCUUUCAGUGGGGGGAUAACGUAGCGAAAGUUACGCUAAUACCGCAUAUUCUGUGAGCAGGAAAGCAGGGGAUCGCAAGACCUUGCGCUGAUUGAGCGGCCGAUGUCAGAUUAGCUAGUUGGUGAGGUAAAGGCUCACCAAGGCGACGAUCUGUAGCGGGUCUGAGAGGAUGAUCCGCCACACUGGAACUGAGACACGGUCCAGACUCCUACGGGAGGCAGCAGUGGGGAAUUUUGGACAAUGGGGGCAACCCUGAUCCAGCCAUGCCGCGUGAGUGAAGAAGGCCUUCGGGUUGUAAGCUCUUUUGUCCGGAAGAAAGCAUCUGGUUAAUACCGGGUGUUCUGACGGUACCGGAAGAAUAAGCACCGGCUAACUUCGUGCCAGCAGCCGCGGUAAU